rnacentral:tRNA from 1 species
GCACCUAUAGUUCAGUUGGAUAGAACAACUCACUUCUAAUGAGUAGGUCCUAGGUUCGAAUCCUAGUAGGUGUA